ACUCUGGCUGCUGCUCUCGCGGCUGGAGGAAACCUCCGGCCUGGUAACCCGAGCCCGCUCUGUGCUGGAGAAGGCCAGACAUCGUAACCCGGCCAACCCAGAGCUAUGGCUGGCUGCCGUGCGGCUGGAACGGAGAGCCAACCAAGAGGCCAUGGCUCACAUCCUCAUGGCUAAAGGUGGGUUGUGGGUGAUGGAAAACUCAAUACAACAACAAAGCAAGUUUUAUUUGGAAAGCCAUUCUUAUUUACAUAUACCAGACAUGAGAUCUCUUAGCCAAUCAACAUGUUGCAGCCAUGCAAGAAUGCCCCAACAGUGGAAUACUCUGGGCGGAGGCCAUCUUCAUGGAGUCACGCCAGCAGCGCAAAGCCAAGACUGUGGAUGCCCUCAAGCACUGUGAACAUGAUGCCCACGUUCUCCUGGCCAUCUCCAAGUAGGUUCCACUGUGUAGAUCCUAUGGUCACCUCCUAACUCCUGGUGUGUGCAGCACCAUGUGGUGUGACCGCAAGAUUGACAAGGCUCGCGAGUGGUUUGGCCGCACCAUCAAGAUAGAUUCUGACCUCGGGGAUGCCUGGGCUUACUACUACAAGUUUGAGCUCUUCAAUGGCACAGAGGUACGGCCAUCUUGUACCCUGCUACUCAAGUGUGGGAAACUACAGGCGGUUUAACAGGAACUGGAGUUUCUCCAAAGAAACUCUAUUUAGAGAACCUCUGGUACCUGUUAAACAUCUUGUAGAGUUUCUUGAAGUGUAGUGCGACAAUAGUCUGCUCAGUACGUCACACUUGACUGUGUGCUCCAGGAGAUGCAGCAGGAAGUCCGCAAGAAGUGUGUGAAUGCUGAGCCCAAGUACGGAGAGAACUGGUGCUCCGUGUCCAAGGACAUCGCCAACUGGCGCAAGAAGACGGAGGAGAUCCUCAUCAUGGUGGCCAACAAGCUGCCCAUCCCCACCUAGGUCUGUCAUCACCAUAAUGGAAGAAGAAUGAAUGUCUAUACAACUUAAUAAAAAGUUCUCAACAGUUGUUGUUUAUCUGUGAAAUUUACUCUAGUGACUGAAGUAACAAAGCCUAUACAUAGUAGUUGUCUGUACAAGGUUUCACAAUGAAUAAUCUAGUUUCUCAAUUCACAAUGAAAGUUUCUCAAGACUUAUAUGUCAACAUGAAGAGAUUUAUUAUAUACAGCAGGAACCUACAAAGAAAGCUCAGGGGGAUAGAAGACCCUCGGGUCAUUAAUAUAACAACGCAGCGGCGGCCUUCCUAGAGACUAACUAGAGUAGCAGGGUACCGGACUCUAGCCUGAGGUGUCCGGAGGGUCCUUCUUCCUCAGCCUCAGGACGUGGAUGUCCGGACUCUGGAAGGUCUGAUCCAGCUCACUCUCCGGGACCCGCUCCAUGCCGAACCUCUCCCUCAUCAGCUGCAGCACACUCCACUAGCUGGGAACAUUUCUUGAGACACUUUUGUAACCCAAGGUAACAAGACCAAAUUUCACUGACACCCACUUUAUUAAUUUGGUCUUAUUGCCUCAGGUUUCUAACCUAUGAUCCAACCUAUCAUUUUUUCAACCUUUCGAUAAAAAUCUUUUUUUGUCAUCAUUAAAUAUAUAUUUAGAGAUUAAUUUUAUAACAGCUAGCCAAAACGUUUUUUUCUAGACUAGGACAAAAGAUUUUUUGUCGAAAUGUCAAAGUAAAUUCCUUGUCCAUCUAAAGAGCCCUCAAUGCCGGCUAGACAACUUACCUCCAUGAAGAGGUUGUGGAUCUGGACCUUGUCGUCCUCGUGUCUCUCCUCGUAGGACAACAGCACCUCUGUGUGGGGGCCGGACAGCUGGGACAGGGUCUCCACCAGGGGCCGCACACUCUGCCCUCACACCCGGCUGUUACACUAUGUCCUGCCUGUCAAUCCAUAUAACCAAACCGGGGUCAAUUACAAAUCCAUUGGGAUUUUCACACAUAGGUUAGAAUUUUGUGGACUGCCUCAUGUUACAAGUAUAAAAUCUUUUUUGGUGAUCCAUAGAGCCUAAACAUGAGAGCUGUCAAACCAUCUAUAUUAAGAUGUAUUGGGUGCGCAAAAAUGACUCAGCAUUUUUAUUUAAUUCAAUAUAAAUUUGAAACAAAUUUUUACCUAUUGCUUUGCAUCAAUUUCUGCAUCUUUAACACUAGCUAUUCAUGAGAAAUACUUAGUAUUUACUAGGGGGGUCGGUGGAAGGCUGGUUAAACCGUUUGGUUUUCGACCACUACGACCCGGGUUCGAUCCCCGCAUUGGACACUUUUUAUGUUUAAAAAAUAUAUAUAUAAAAAAUGCUCCAAUGGCCCCCCGAUUCUUGCAAAAGUCCAACCCCACCAGCGAGUGCAAGUAACCAAACGGGGCUCUGGCACAUUUGUAAGUGCAAAGUCGAACUGCUUUCACAUGUGUAGACAUGUGGUGUACUUACAGUAAAAGCAGUCGCUAACUACCCACCAUGAUUAUCAUGGCCUGUACCACGUGUACUAGGGAUAAGCAAAAAAAAAAAAACUUUUAAUUAUGGAAAUAUUUAAGAUGCAUUAGCACGCCAUCUGUUAUCAAAAUUGUAAACUAUUAUAGACACAUAUGAUUCUUUUUAAAAAUAAAUAAUUUGUACUGCCUUAGUGCAAUGGAAAAAUUACCACUGGGAGGGUUCACCACUGAUGAGCCAGGCCCUCCCAUAAUUUUUCCAUUGCAGUAAGGCAGUAGAAAUUGUUUAUUUUUAAAAAGAAUCAUACGUGUCUAUAAUAGUUUCCAAUUAUGGGAAUAUUUAUUUAAAAAGUAGUGUUAACCCUUUAAGCUCUAGGGCCCGAAUGCUAACUAUCACUAUCAGGACCACACUAAUUAAGCCUAAACUGAUGAUCAAGUAGUUGUUAAGUAAAAAAUGUUAUAAAUAAAUAAAUAUGAUAGAUAGAAGUGUUCUGUAAAGUGUAAUAUAAUCCAGACUCCUCUCUCAACACAACACUCUGAUUUUAUUAUACUGGAGUGAGUAUUUAAUUUUUUAAUUGGGGGUUAAUUAUAAUUAAUUGAAUAAUCGACUUGAAUUUUUCAAAAUAAGGUUUUACAAAUAUAAAAAGGAAUUUUAGAUAUAUACAAGGCUAUUUACAAAGCUAACACUUGUGUUUAAAAGCACAGACUGGAUGCAAGCCUCUCUUGCACUUUGAACAUAUGGUUCUAGACCUCCGCUUCAGGCCUUCUUUUGUACACUCCACACAUCUACUCUCUCUCUUUUCUGGAAGUUUUUCGAGUACUUCCUGGCUUGUUGAAGGCAGUACUGGAGGUUUCAAGUGAUUUUUAACUAAUUCAUUUAUUACUGAAUAGUUAAAAGCCCUUCUAGAAAGCUUGGGGUUGUCUUUGGUAUGCUGUUCAUAUAGGAUGAAGGAGUUUAGGAAAGCCCUGUGGAAGAUGUUGAGGAUCACCUUUCUAUAAAAUUUUCUUCCUUUUCUUUCAUCCAUAUAUGUAUACAACAUUUGAUCAUUGAGAUCUACCCCUCCCAUGUAGCUAUCAUAGCAUAUUUUCAUCUGUGGGUAGUCUCUUUGGUCUGACACCUUCUUUUUGCCAGAAGAAGCAUCACAAAAUGUUGAGAGAAACUUCACUGGAGGUUUGCUCUUCUUUUCUUUGUAAGCCAGGGCCAGUAGAUUAUUAUUUACCAUAUAAAGGGAUUCAUCAACACCUAAUUUUGCACUUUUUAAGGUUUUAGGAAGUCCUUUCCUAUUAGUUCUUAUAGUACCAGUCAAAUAAGUAUGACUGUCCAGUAAGUCCUUGGCUAGGUUGAUGCUGGUGAAAAAGUUGUCAGUUAUCAAAUGAUAACCUUUUCCAAGUAAACUGGAUUCCUGGAGCAGAUUCAUUGGAACAUCAUAGGAAAGGGACUUGAUAAUUGGAGAUAAUUUCCCUUUAUAUGGCUUCAUUCUCAGACAAUAGCCAGUUUUAGAUUCACAAAGCAUCCACAGUUUGACUCCAAAUCGACCAUGGUGCUUUUGGGGCAUAUAUUGUCUAAGACGAGUUCGGUUUUUUAGGCACACCAAGCUCUCAUCAACUGUAAGAUUUUGAGUAAGCUUAUAAUAAUAUAUAAACUUGUUGUUCACAUGCUCUAUGAGCUUCUCAAAUCUUGCAGUUGGGUUGUAAUCAGGAUGAGAACUUGGAACCAGGUUGGAGUCAUCAAUCAGAGAAAAGCAGCUGUAGAGCAACUCAAAUCUCCCUCUAGACAUAACUUUACCAAACCAGGGCGUCUCUAAAAGUUCAUUCUUGCUCCAAUAGUCCCUGAUUUGGUUCUUCUUCACAUUGCCCAUAUUGAAGAUGACUCCAAUAAAGGCCAUCAUCUCAUCCAAGGUAGUGUCCUUCCAGGCCAGCUUCCUAGAAAAUAGAGGCAAUUUGUCCCUAUUGCUUGCCAAUAAAGUUUGGGCACAUUUAUUGGUAAAAGCCACAAUUUCCUUCAUCAAAUUAAUUGUUAUGAAUAACAAAAAGUAUUCAAUAGGCCGGAUAAUAGAGGGGGGAAGGUGCUGUGGGCCACAAACUUCUCCAAAAGUCAACGUUUUAGAUGUGGAAAAUGGAGUAUAAACUCUUACCCAAGGACUUGGCUGGUUUUCAUCCACUUCUUCAUCAGAAAAUUCAUCUUCAAAAGUGUCUUCAACACUUUCUUCAAACUCAGAAGACAAAGAAUAAACUUCAGUGUCCUCAGAAAAUGCAGAGCAUUCUGAACCGGAAGCCAUUUUUAAAAAAUUAAAAAUAAAAAAAGGAAAUCGCAAGACAAAGGAGAUAAAAACACAGCUAACGUGUAGAGACAAGCCCAGAAGUGAGAAGGGAGGUGAUAAAAAUAGCCAGCCACCACCCCCUCCCCCACGAGGGGCCCUACAAGGAAGUAACGAUAGAUCAGUACCCCGGCGCUCCUGGUGACGUUAUAGGGUAACGAUGGAUCGUUACCUCGGCGCUUAAAGGGUUAAAAAAUAUUUCGGAUGUAUCUUGGCAUCUGUUUUGACAGAGAGGUGACCUUUAUAAACCAAUAUCUCCUCCAAGCAACAACAAUAAGAGACACCCAGGUAGAGUGUACACAACCAGAUUGUCCAUGUGUUAGAGAGACAGCUCAUGUACAACCAGUCUGACCCCAGUUCAGCCUCCAUAGUUAUAACACCAGGUCUGUUACAUAACUUGCUGCCAGAGAGACAGUACCUCCUAGAGUUUGGUCAAUGGAGGAUAAACUAUUUACAUACCCAACCCAGGAUCAAAUCCCAAUUUGGGGAACUUUUUCAAAAUUGAAAAUUGCUUCAAUGGCUCCCUACCUAUGAGUGCAAGUAACCAAACAGGCCCUGGCACAUUUGUAAGUGUAAAAGUCUAACUGCUUUUUACAAUGUGUAGACAUGUGGUGUACUUACAGUAAAAGCAGUCACUAACUACCCACCAUGAUUAUCAUGGCUGCUGUACCAUGUGUAGACAUGUGACAAUUUUUGACAAUUAAAUAACUUUAUUGACCGCUGGUCAACAAUCACUCACGAGGAGUCAAGAGGAUAAACUAUGUACAUUGGGCGGAGCCCUCCCCGAGGGGACGUCUGGCCUCAUCAGGAGGACAAGUCCACCCUGAGCCCGUAAAUUUCCUUGUGAACAGUGGGAUGGUUGUUCCGAGUAUACUCGAGAACAACAUCAAGGAAGCCCGCGAGAACACUCUUAUUUUCAGGCGAAAGUUGCUCGAGGAGUUCCUCUAUGUCUUCGCUGUAUAAGACCGCAGGCAUGAUGUCAUCUAGUUGAAUCCCUGAUUCUAAGAAGGGCCCAGCACCUGGAUCAAAGAUCAUUUUUCUAAAUAUUAUACCAACCUCCGGCAUCAGAUCCUUCUCCUCCAUCGGGUCAGGCAGUGGAAGCGGAGGUGUUGUCCUGGCUGGAGUUGACUUCUUUUUAUGGGGAGCGGGCAGCACCGGCUUAGCAGGCUGAGGCGCAGGCAGUGGGGGUGUUGGAGGGACUGCUGGUGUUGUCCUGAGCUCAGCCUUGACCUGUCCGAGGACUUUGUAAAGGUUGCUGGCUGCUCCGGGCCUCAGAUCCAAGAUUUGCCCUGAUCAGGCCGACGAGGGCGUCGCACUGCGGAGGCGACAGGAGGGGUCCUUUCCUCUGCGCCUUGGUCCUCGAGGAGAGGAGGUCCAGGACCUCCUCCCGCCCAAGACCAAGGGUGUCCGUCUCAGCGAAGGACACGCUGGGGUGCCCCUCGAUAAACGCAUCGAGGUCGACUCUCGUUGCAUUCUUUGCCGAAGACGUGGAGGACGCAAGGGUCUCCUCCACGAUGGACAUCUCCACGUCCGGUGUUGGGGCCGCAGGUCCGAGGGUCUUCUGGGCGGGCAGAGGGCCACGCGGGGGCAACGAGGUUCGGCCGAGCGGGAGGCGGCUCAGGAUGUUGUGAACCGGCCGGGCGAGGGCCCACGGGACCCUCAGGCGCCUGCAGGGGCGGAGCAGGGGUCACAGGUGGAGGGGCAGAAGGCGUCUCCUCCAUAGGCAAGGCCGGGGCCGCUGGUGUUGGACGGCUCUGCUGCCGGGACACGGUGGACGAUGCACCAGGUGGAAGGGGUGCCGGUUGUGGCUGGCCGUUGUUGGAGGCUCUCCCAGGAUUGAUAGGGCAGUUGGCCCUACAGUGACCCUGCCGGCCGCAUCUGGAGCACUUGACUCCAUAUGAUAUGAAGGCCGAGAGGACGUUUCCUUUGUUUCUGAUGACGACGCGGGUGUGGAUCUUUUCCAGUGUAAAGCCCUCCUUUAGGAGGAUGAAUACCUCGCGUCGGCCAUCCGUGAAGGUAUACCUUCCGGCUCUCAGCCGGAUAGGGACAAUGGAAGUCACGUCACCGUAGGGCCUGAGGGCCUCGAUGACGGCGGCGUCGUCUACGAAAAAGGGCAGGUUUGUGACGGUGAUCCUAUCCGCCCUUUUCUUAAAGGGGAAGGCCCUGAGGUGGGUAUGCCCGAUUUCAAGGCCGUCCCUUAGAAGUCGCUCCGCCAGGGCCUUGGUGGACAGGCCCACCAGCAUGUGGCCGUCCAUUUUCAUCACUUGGAGCACAUUCCCGGCUCCUCCGACCAGCUCUUCUACCGCCUGUAGGUAAUGGGUGUACCCGAAGUCUGGGCAGUGUUCCACGAAGACGCAGUUAUCCUCAGUUGAAGAGCGCUGUUGUACUCUGGCAUCGGCGAUGUCGGCCCGGGUAGCCCUGAUUUCCUGGACCACCGUAGCUCCUCCCGCAGUUGGCCGUCUUCGCGGGAUUGCGCCGGUCCUUCUGGAGGCCGCGACACCUCUGGAACGUUGUUCGACAGGGCGGUUCGGCGACUCCCUGCGUCUACGCUUGUGUUUAACUACGGUGAAGUUAUCUUCACCUGAUUCCGCAGCCUCCAUUUGCUCGGCCCAGUUCGUCGCAGCGGCCAAGGCGCCGCUUGUUGAUGGCAUGACGUCAGCGAUACACGCCGCGGCAAAAUUUGCAUGGCUUCUGUCGAUUGACAGAUUUGCAUAGUUGGCGCUUGCGUCAGCCAUUCUCGAAUCUUCACCUUGAAAAUGGUUUUCCGCGGAUAAAUCCGCAAUGGCUUCUUCACUUUCGGAGCCGAGCCUUGCAGGCUCAUGUUCAGCUCGGGGAGGGCUUCCAGCGACAUUCUUCCGCUCGCCAGAGGCGAAAAACUCAGGAGCUCGCGCGACGCGUGGCCGCACGGCCGAGUGUAGACAUGUGGUGUACUUACAGUAAAAACAGUCGUUAACUACCCACCAUGAUUAUCAUGGCCUGUACCAUGUGUAGACAUGUGGUGUACUUACAGUAAAAGCAGUCGCUAACUACCCACCAUGAUUAUCAUGGCCUGUACCAUGUGUAGACAUGUGACAAUUGACAAUUAAACAAUUUUUUAUUGUCAUCUUAGACAAUCGGCAAACUACAAAGAGUUAAGUAACAAUGUUCAAAG